AGUGAACGCUGGCGGUAGGCCUAACACAUGCAAGUCGAACGGCAGCACAGUAAGAGCUUGCUCUUACGGGUGGCGAGUGGCGGACGGGUGAGGAAUACAUCGGAAUCUACUUUUUCGUGGGGGAUAACGUAGGGAAACUUACGCUAAUACCGCAUACGACCUACGGGUGAAAGCAGGGGAUCUUCGGACCUUGCGCGAUUGAAUGAGCCGAUGUCGGAUUAGCUAGUUGGCGGGGUAAAGGCCCACCAAGGCGACGAUCCGUAGCUGGUCUGAGAGGAUGAUCAGCCACACUGGAACUGAGACACGGUCCAGACUCCUACGGGAGGCAGCAGUGGGGAAUAUUGGACAAUGGGCGAAAGCCUGAUCCAGCCAUACCGCGUGGGUGAAGAAGGCCUUCGGGUUGUAAAGCCCUUUUGUUGGGAAAGAACAGCAGCAGGUUAAUACCCCGCUGUUCUGACGGUACCCAAAGAGUAAGCACCGGCUAACUUCGUG
rnacentral:rRNA from 1 species